UCAAGACUCUUUUUUGGCGUUGUUGCUGGGGAGUGAAGCGCCNUUGGUGAGUGGAAUUUGGUAAGGAACAUUUUUGUUGUGUGUUGGAAUUUACCGUUGCUUGUCACUAUUGAUAGUAAUCCUUUGAGAGGUCUGUUCGGGGUAUCUCCACCUUGAAUGGAAGUGGCACAAGCCGCUCCCCAACCUAUUGAACUUUAUGAUAAUAUAUACGAUGAAAUUCCUUCGGGUAUGUUAGAUAAACUGCUAGCUAAUAUUUAUGCAAGAGUCGGUACAACUCAUCCUGAUUUGCACUUGAUAUAUGU
rnacentral:lncRNA from 1 species